UCUACCUCAGUGAGGUCUUCUACCUCUCAAUGAGGUCUUCUGCAUCAGUGAGGUCUUCUGCCUCAUUGAGGUCUUCUACCUCUCAGUGAGGUCUUCUGCCUCAUUGAGGUCUUCUGCCUCAUUGAGGUCUUCUGCCUCAUUGAGGUCUUCUGCCUCAUUGAGGUCUUCUGCCUCAGUGAAGUCUUCUUUUGCUAGGACCUCAGUGAGGUCUUCUUUUGCUAGGACCUCAGUGAGGUCUUCUUUUGUCAAGACCUUAUUGAGGUCUUCCUUUGUCAAGACUUUAUUGAGGUCUUCUCUUGUCAAGACCUCAUUGAGGUCUUCUCUUGUCAAGACCUUAUUGAGGUCUUCCUUUGCUAGGACCUCAGUGAGGUCUUCUUUUGUCAAGACCUUAUUGAGGUCUUCCUUUGUCAAGACCUCAUUGAGGUCUUCUCUUGUCAAGACCUUAUUGAGGUCUUCCUUUGCUAAGACCUCAGUGAGGUCUUCUUUUGUCAAGACCUUAUUGAGGUCUUCCUUUGUCAAGACCUCAUUGAGGUCUUCUCUUGUCAAGACCUUAUUGAGGUCUUCCUUUGCUAGGACCUCAGUGAGGUCUUCUUUUGUCAAGACCUUAUUGAGGUCUUCUCUUGUCAAGACCUCAUUGAGGUCUUCUCUUGNN
rnacentral:lncRNA from 1 species